rnacentral:sRNA from 1 species
GCCAGGUGCGGUGGCACACACUUGUAAUCCCAGCAGCUCAGGAGGCUGAGGCAGGAGGAUCUCGAGUUCAAAGCCAGCCUCAGCAACUUAGCGAGGCCCUAAGCAACUCAGUGAGACCCUGUCUCCA